rnacentral:rRNA from 1 species
AACGAACGCUGGCGGCAUGCCUAACACAUGCAAGUCGAACGAAGGCUUCGGCCUUAGUGGCGCACGGGUGCGUAACACGUGGGAAUCUGCCCUUUGCUUCGGAAUAACAGUUAGAAAUGACUGCUAAUACCGAAUAAUGUCGCAAGACCAAAGAUUUAUCGGCAAAGGAUGAGCCCGCGUAGGAUUAGCUAGUUGGUGGGGUAAAGGCUCACCAAGGCGACGAUCCUUAGCUGGUCUGAGAGGAUGAUCAGCCACACUGGGACUGAGACACAGCCCAGACUCCUACGGGAGGCAGCAGUGGGGAAUAUUGGACAAUGGGCGAAAGCCUGAUCCAGCAAUGCCGCGUGAGUGAUGAAGGCCUUAGGGUUGUAAAGCUCUUUUACCAGGGAUGAUAAUGACAGUACCUGGAGAAUAAGCUCCGGCUAACUCCGUGCCAGCCGCCGCGGUAACAC